UCCCCGUUACCGGGGCAGUCUAGCUAGAAAAAUCCAACUAACUAUAAGGGUUGCGCUCGUUGAAGGACUUAACCUAACGUCUCACGACACGAGCUGACGACGGCCAUGCAGCACCUGUCACUACGGCCCGAAGGCACUCCCUUCUUUCGAAGGGAUUAGUAGGAUGUCAAACCUGGGUAAGGUUCUUCGUUUACCAUCGAAUUAAACAACACGCUCCACCGCUUGUGCGGGUCCCCGUCAAUUCCUUUAUGUUUUAGCCUUGCGGCCGUACUCCACAGGCGGGAUGCUUAACGCGUUAGCUUCGCUACUAUCAGGGUCGAUACUGAUAACAGCUAGCAUCCAUCGUUUACGGCGUGGACUAC
rnacentral:misc_RNA from 1 species